ACCCUCCAGUGAGGGUUUUGUGAGAUGGUUUCCUGUCUGGGCUCCCCAGCGAGGUUUUGGUUGAAAACUCUUUUGUUUUGGCCCUCCGAGUCUAACUUCCCAUCACAGCUCUUCAGCAACAUUUUGUGAGGCAAUUCUCCCUGCCCCGGUCCUCCAGGGAGGUUUUGUGAGGCAGAACCCGGAGUCCGCCGCCGUUUCCUCUCCCGCAGCUGCUAGGUGUCUGGAUCGAAUUGUGCGUCGGGCGCUGGUGCGGCUCAGAAAUCACCCCGCUGUCUGCACCCAUUCACCGAGUCACAGGCCCUCCUGCAGCGUGGUAAUACGCCCCAGCCCCUUGGAGGCCAUGACUCGGUGGGGAUCAAUUGCUUGCUAUGCCAAUCUCACCCGAUACAUCAUUUAAAAUGGAA